rnacentral:rRNA from 1 species
CGAAUUAGUUUGAGCUAAAUAGCCAGGUGUUGAUAGACCAAUGAUGUGCGUUUCAUAGCACAAUUUAAAUGGUUAUUUAGGGGCGAUAGGCUUUACAAAAACUAAGAUAUCUUGAUGCCGUAAAAAUGUACUUAGUACAAAGACAAAUAUAGAGUGGUUAGGCUUUAUAUGAGUAUAAUAUUUAUUUUAUGUAAGUAGUGGUAUAAGCAUCUAUUACUUUUCUUAAAUAUUAUUUAAAUUAAAAUUAUGUUUAUAGUAUAUGGUGCUGUUAAAAUUUCAACUAACAUUGAUAAUGUUUGCAUGAGUACUGUUUUGAGACCUAGAUAAUGAACUCGGCCAGUUUUUUCUUCAACUGUUUAUCAAAAACAUAACUAUAUGAAAGUUUUAUAUAGCUAUUUCUGCUCAAUGUUUCUAUAAAUAGCCGCAGUACCUUGACUGUGCAAAGGUAGCAUAAUCAAUUGGCUUAUAAUUGAAGUCUGGGAUGAAAGAAUCUAUGGGGAAACACUGUUUCAUUUGGGGUUUGUGGAAAUUAUUUAGUAGGUGAAAAGACCUAUAGUUAAAAAAUAGACGAGAAGACCCUAGAAAUUUUGAUUAAAAAAUUUAAAGGAUAUUUUUUUGUUGGGGCGACAAAGUAGCAAUUAAAACCUACUUAAACAAAUAUGUAUUAUAUAUAUAAAGGUUAAGUAAAUUACUCUAGGGAUAACAGCAUAAUAUUUUAAAGUUUGUGACCUCGAUGUUGGACUAGGAAAAUAUAGUUUAGAAGACUACUAUAAAAGCUCUGUU